CCUGGUGGCUCAGAGGUUAAAGCGUCUGCCUGGAAUACAGGAGACCCAGGUUCGAUCCCUGGGUCAGGA
rnacentral:tRNA from 1 species